CUGUUCUGGGUUGAACACGCCUGCCACCGCAGGGAAGCUGCCUGUUGUCUCAGCAGAACAUUCUCUGUUGCUGUUUCAGCUCCUUGAGGCAGCAUGAAGGACAAUGAGGCUCCAGCUGGUACAAGAGCAGACCCUUAUGGACAGGUUAAUUCCUAUCCAAGAUGAACAUUCCCCCCCCAGUUCUCCAUCAUCAAAGCAGUCUGGAAAGUCAGGCCUGCCCGAAGGAACCACUGGCAAGGCAGGUGCUGCUGUGUCACCAGAACAGAGAGGAGCUGGCUCACCGCUCACCAGCAGUAGCAGCCAUCUGCGUUCCUCACAGUAGCCUGCCUGCAGGGCCAGAUGUAACAUCUUGCUCAUUUCUUAGGCUCUGGAUUAGUACCCAGCACACUAGAUGCUGCUUCCCUCGAAGCCUGAGGCAAGACGGCAAUGUUCCUUUCCUGCACCAGUGGUUUCACCAUUUCUGUACCCAGGCCCCUGAGAAACAUCCAUUUCUUACUCAGAGAUUUAUAAUAAUAGACUCACGGAAUCAGAGCUGGACGGGACCUCGAGAGGUCUCUAGUCCAGCCCUCCGCACUCACGGCAGGACUCAGUAUUAUCUAGACCGUCCCUGACAGGUGUUUGUCCAACCUGCUCUUAAAAAUCCCCAAUGACAGAGACUCCAGCACCUCCCUAGGCAAUUUAUUCCAGUGCUUAACUACUAUUAUGCCAUGUGCGGUUCAACAAAAUCCAAACAAUCUACACACUGAGACAUGCAGUGAGCAACAGAGUCUGUCAAGUGUGAGCUUGUCAGAAAAUGUAUCUGACAAUUAUGGCUUAUCCAGAAACUGUUCCUAGCAACCAUGAGCGUCCCUGAAAAUCAAUUUCACAGUGUCAUUGUCAAAGAUACUCAAUUUGCUGGACAGUUGUGCUGAUACAUGACGCAAAUGUCAUCUGGGGUCUUACAGACCCCGUGACACUUUUGGUGCUUUAAAAAAAAAAAAAAAAAACCCCCACUGAAACUAUGAUGCUAAAGACCAUACUGAAAGAUUCAUGUGAUCCUAUCAUAACUGCAGCCUCAAAGUAAAAACAAUUUGAUGCUGGAAUACUGCAUAAUUAAUUUGGGGUCUAAUUUACCCCAUGACCUUUUUAGGGAUUUUUUUUUCUUACACAAAACCCACAACAGGUAGGAUGAUAAAACUAAUGGGGAAAGAUUGACUUCAUCCUACCUGAGAAGAGGCACGGCUGUUGGCAUAAAACAUUUUCUUUACAUUGUUGUGAGCAUUGGGGUCAGAUAGACCAAAAACAUUAGAAGAGUUAAAUCUGAUCACACAGACAGCUUCCAAGUGUACAUUAUGUGUUAUGGGUGUGACAUUAUCUUCACUGUAUCUGAGUAACACAGCUCUCCGUUCCACAGGUUAGCUGAAAACAGCCACAGUCCAAUUUCAGAAGUCAGCUGUCUGUGUUUCUAUUUCAUUAGUUUCCAGACUCAGUGAAAUGAACAGGCAGGACUAUGCCAUCGGGAAGCAUUGUCACUGACUGCAAUGGGUACAGGCCCGGGCCCUGAAUGCACCACGAACAGCCUCCUUUGCUUUGCGGGAGAUAAAGGAAACAGUGCAGAAACGCUGGCUCACCAAAGCACGGCUGUCAGGAGUAAGUGAAUGCCCUUUGGACAGAAAACACAGGAGUUGUCAGACCUGCCCAUGCCACAGCUCCACUUGCCUUUGACCAUGCCCAACAGAGGUGCCAGGUGUCAGAGUGGUAGCCAUGUUAGUCUCCAAGGUGCCACAAGGACUACUCGUUUUUCCUAUGUGAUCCUUAGACAAGUCAAAAGUGAAGCAAGAGGCACCAAUGCUGUCUAAAACUUGUAGAGGAUUCCGUAAAGUGGAGCUUUGCUACAAAAUAACCCCAUUUGACUCAGAAAGCCUACAUCAAUAUUGUUUUUGUCACAUAAAGCAACUUCCUCCUAAAACAAAUACAGAGGGGUAAUUUAUCGUAAGUCAUAGGGUCUUGCGAAAGAAGAUCAGGCUGAAUAAUCUGUUCAUAUAACUCGUGAUGAAAAUCUAAGUGUGUAAACAUGAAAUGCAUCAAUAUCAAGGAGAGAAAAUAUUGAGAACCUACAUGAAGUGAGAAUUGUUGAGGCAUUUUACAAUCACUGGGGCAUUUCAUGACAUCCAUUUUUACCUAAAAAUGGAAGGCAUAAAAUGACUUACUGUUCUGAGUACUGGGUUUUGAAUAAAGAACCACCACAGAAUCUUAAAUCCGCUUUCCUGUGGUGGAGCAGGUACUUGGAUGUGAAUGACUACGAAUUGCCACUACGAAUGACAGUGAAUAGUCAUUUGGCUACAGAAGGCAUGAGAAUCACUCUAGUGCCAGGUAGGUUGGGCACUCCCUUUUUUUUUUCGGCUAAAACUAUUCAGUGGAUUCAUAUCAAAUUAACCAAUAAUUUUCAGCUUGACUGAAACUGCAAGUAAACUGUUCAUCCAAAAAAAAAUCACCCAGCUCUAGCUGGGCUGGCAUGCUCAAUACAGCUGGUGAAAUAUUUCAAACAAUUAUUGUUCUCGUUUUUAAGUGAUCUUUUUUCUAAAAUUGAAAUUUUCAUGUAAAAAAAUAUUUUUCCAAGAAUUUGUUCUUUUAACAAAUCCCCAAUAUUAAAAAUGUGCUGUUUGUUAUUCUGGUUUUCUUUUUCCCCUUUUCCUUCUGUUUCCCCUUUUCAGUGGCAAAAUGGAAAGAAAAAAGGGGGGACAAAGGGAGAACUGGGGAGAGAGAAUUGACACUGGAAAAGUUCUACUUUAAAAAAAAAUCCAUUUUUGAAAUUUGUAGACAAAAAUAAAUUUCAAAAUUGUCAAGUUUUAUUGCAAACACCCAUUUUCCAACCAGGUGAGUGCCCUGGUUGCAGAGCUACUCCAAGUGAUGAAGAAGGGGUUGGCUUGUUCCAGUAGGAGCUGCAUCUGCUCUUCUCACCUGGAAGGAGUCUUUGAGGGUGGGGUGCAAAGACAGAAAUAUGGGGACUUGGAAGGGGACCCCACAGAAAAUGAAAUGUCCUGAAGCAGCCAUUUGGGAACAAACAUCUACAAAUUACAGAGCUUAAACAAGUCUACAUGAGCUCCGAUCUGAUCAGACUUGGGGCAAGGACUGUCAUUCUGUUCUGGAUUUGUGCAGUGCCCAGCACAGUGGGGUCCUGGGCCAUGACUAGGGCUCCUAGGUGCUACAAUAAUAAACAAUA